UCGCCUGUAUGAAGUCGGAAUUGCUAGUAAUCGCGGAUCAGCAUGCCGCGGUGAAUACGUUCCCGGGCCUUGUACACACCGCCCGUCACACCAUGAGAGCCGGGAACACCCGAAGUCCGUAGUCUAACCGCAAGGAGGACGCGGCCGAAGGUGGGUUUGGUAAUUGGGGUGAAGUCGUAACAAGGUACC
rnacentral:rRNA from 1 species